rnacentral:rRNA from 1 species
UACGUAGGGGGCAAGCGUUGUCCGGAAUCAUUGGGCGUAAAGCGCGCGUAGGCGGCCCGGUAAGUCCGCUGUGAAAGUCAAAGGCUCAACCUUUGAAAUGCCGGUGGAUACUGUCGGGCUAGAGUCCGGAAGAGGCGAGUGGAAUUCCUGGUGUAGCGGUGGAAUGCGCAGAUAUCAGGAGGAACACCAAUAGCGAAGGCAGCUCGCUGGACGGUACUGACGCUGAGGCGCGAAGCGUGGGAGCGAACAG